rnacentral:lncRNA from 1 species
CCCGGAAACAAAUGAGAAAACUUACCAUUUAAGUAAUGUAAAAAAAUAUAGGUUCUUAAAGUUUGAAGGUUACAUGCAUGUCUAAAAUUGGCAGGCAUCCCUGGUCAGUAUGUGAAUGUGUUCUAUCUAUAGUAAUUUUCAGCCACACAGUAUUUAUUGGAUGAACUUGGUAGUAUAUAGAAAAGGAUCAUGUAUUUUCUGUUAAAAAGGUUGGGUGGUGACCACCUUGUAUUUAUUGGAUGAACUUGGUAGUAUAUAGAAAAGGAUCAUGUAUUUUCUGUUAAAGAGAUUGGGUGGUGACCACCUUGUAUUUAUUGGAUGAACUUGGUAGUAUAUAGAAAAGGAUUAUGUAUUUUCUGUUAAAGAGGUUGGGUGGUGACCACCUUGUAUUUAUUGGAUGAACUUGGUAGUAUAUAGAAAAGGAUCAUGUAUUUUCUGUUAAAGAGGUUGGGUGGUGACCACCUUGU